rnacentral:lncRNA from 1 species
GUACCAUUCUCAUAAUUAUUUUAGCUUUGUUUGCUUAUCAUGAAAUUUGCAGUUUACUGUAUAAUGUAUGUUAGUGAACUAUACUUGAAUCAUGGGCGUUAUGCAUUCUGUAAGUGACAAGACAACUGCAUUCCUUUAUGUUCUUACAUACGUAUAGUUAAUUAUUACAUUAAUAAUAAAAUGUUUAUGAAUAAAAAUAUAUUAAAAUAAAUAUAGUAGUUGGCUAUUGCAAGGUAUCUGUGUAUAGGGUACCCAUUGCAAAGCUCUCGUUGUUAAGGCAAAUUUUUUAGUCUUAGGGUGAGUUUGGAUGGGCGGUGCGUUUAGCUGCGGUUAGUGUAAAAACAGCGGUGGCGGUGAGAUUAGAUACUGUAGCGAUACUGUAGCGUGAGACAAAAAGUAAGUUAAACGCACCGCACCGCAGUCAAUUGCCCAUCCAAACGAAGCCUUAAUAUGCUAAUCAACCAUAAACUUUGCAUAUUUUGGUGCAGUUACUUGCGUAUCAUCUCACUGUGUUAAGGGGAUACAAUGUUGACCAGCCUCGGAAUCUUGCAAAAAGCGUGACCACACAGUGAAGAAUGCUUACUGAUGAAC